ensembl:lncRNA
ACGCUGCCCUGUGACUGCUCCUUGCUACACGACAGUGCUUUUUGCCAAGUCUGGCACAUGGUGCCUCCUCUGGCUGCGUCGUCUUAUCUAAACCUGGCAGGGAUUGUACAGAACAUUUCUGUUACCUGUCCAGGAGUCAGUGCCCACCAUGGGCCAUUCUGCUUCCUUAAUCCUGUCUUCUCUCAGCAUAUGGAAAGAAUAGAAGAGCUUUUCCCAACCAACCCUGAGCAAAAUUGUCAGCUAGUUUGAGAGAAACAUAGAGCUGAAAGGAAACCUGGAAUUCAUCUAGACUAAUCCUCACAUUUUGCAAAUUGAAAGUUCAUUUCCUAAACAGUGGAUGAGAUGUCUACAAGUCCACGCAGCUUGACAGCAGUGUGUGCGAUAUGACAGUGCUCCCUGCCAGAGAGAAGGCAUCAGCUGAAGUGCCUUAGAAACCCGCCCCCAGUAACUGCCUCCCACACAACCCCAGACCUUUUCUCUGGUGACCGACCCUCUGCUCCACCUUUGGCAUCUCUCUAGUUAGUUCCAGCUGUUCCUCUUGUGUAUGGUGUCAGCUGGGGUUCAGUCAAGAGGAUAGUUAGGCCAGGUAUUUAAAACAGAGGGGAUUUCCACUACUGGGCAGGAGCAGAAGACAGACGUGUGUACACAGAGCGGGAAGGGGAGUGAGUGAGUGAAAGCCACUCAGUCAUGUCAGAUUCUUUACAACCCCAUGGACUAUAGCCCGCCACACUCCUCUGCCCAUGGAAUUCUCCAGGAAGCAGCCACCAUCACAGGUGAGAGGACCACAGGAAAGAAGUGGUGUCACUGGAGGCUGUGCAGUCACAGGAAUGCUCCCCAGGAUGUAGAUGUGCCAACAGCCAAGGCUAGAACCCUCAGCUGGAGCCUUGUGACUGAUACCCAAAACCAUGAGGGAAUUGCCACAUGGUCAUUGAUGGACAAAUUCCAAUAGAACUUACUCUACUGCUAAAGAAAAAUGGCUUAUGAAAAUAAACUCAUUUACAACAGCUGAAAGCCUUGUUAUGCUAAUGAAAAAUCAUUUUUAUGUAAUCAUUAAAACCAGUCCCUUAAGGAUAUAUAC